AACGAACGCUGGCGGCAUGCCUAACACAUGCAAGUCGAACGAGACCUUCGGGUUUAGUGGCGCCCGGGUUCGUAACGCGUGGGAACCUGCCCUUAGGUUCGGAAUAACUCCCCGAAAGGGGUGUUAAUACCGGAUAAUGUCUUCGGACCAAAGAUUUAUCGCCUUUGGAUGGGCCCGCGUUGGUUUAGCUUGUUGGUAGGGUAAAAGCCUACCAAGGCGACGAUCCAUAGCUGGUCUGAGAGGAUGAUCAGCCACACUGGGACUGAGACACGGCCCAGACUCCUACGGGAAGCAGCAGUGGGGAAUAUUGGACAAUGGGCGAAAGCCUGAUCCAGCAAUGCCGCGUGAGUGAUGAAGGCCUUAGGGUUGUAAAGCUCUUUUACCCGGGAUGAUAAUGACAGUACCGGGAGAAUAAGCUCCGGCUAACUCCGUG
rnacentral:rRNA from 1 species